ACCCCGUGUACGUCAUAAAAAAUAGAUACCAUGUGACGGGACGAACAAGUCGUUCGCCUGGUGGUAAGCGACACGCCUGUACAUAGCAGUUACACUGCCACUAAGGGCCUUAAAUUCCAAAGAUCUGCCACUACGCCCGUCACACUGUAACAAACUGUACCAAGCACAAGUCCGGUCAUGUAUGUUCUGCUAAAUACCAACUGGCUACGCUGGAUUCCGAUUUACUAGAGGCGAAGCUGCAAAGUCUUGAACAUCGCUGUAAAAUUGCCUGCUUAUCGGUAUUCUACAGUAUAUGUAUAUCACUGAGGGUGACGCAAAAUAGGCGCCUUGUCGUCUAGUUGCGGACACCAGCCCGUUACACCAAGUACCAAGUAGAUCACUGAGGGUGUGCUAUGGAAUUGCAUGAUAUAAUUCCACCUUCCCCAUUCCGUCAUAGAGGGACUAGACGUAGGCUGAGGUUCGACACCUAUGUUAUGGAUAUUCCAAAGAUUUGCACUAAGCGUUUCGCUUGCAUAUUUAUAUGAUGAACAGCAAAGGAGUGGAAUUCCCUGCCUGCAGACUUGUUCCCCAAACGCUUUCAAGACUGAAUAGGCACUAUUUAAGUGUGCAUGCUACAUCGUCGACGUCAUAGUCACUGGUGAGAUAGUUAUACUUAAAAUUAAAACAGAAGUUGACAAUUUCCUUGUGACUGUAUUUCACCAAAGUCAUUUUAAAGUAAUAUAGUGCGUAAUAGGUAAUGUUUUGUUUAGGUUGACUGUCCUUUAUCGUUGGCAGUAACUAUAACUCAAUGGGCUUAGUCGAUUGGCAACCAGUGACCAAUUAAAGUGUAGCGAAGCAAUUACAAUUAGAGACCAGAAAAAAGCGUGCGUAAUAUUAUCCUUUAUUUUU